AAACCUCUUCCACAUUCAGAAGAAAAGGUCAUGAAAAUCUGUGCUUGAGGAUCUCACUCACACCUCACCUGUGUCCCCAAAGCCUUUCAACAAGAACUCUUGCCAUGCCGGCUGUUCAUUGCUUCAGGCCCUGCCUUAUCCUACGUUGAUUGGCUUAAGAAGCAGCAUGUUCACAACAUGGAGAAACCCCGUCUCUACUGAAAAUACAAAAUUAGCCGGGCAUGGUGGCGGGUGCCUGUAAUCCCAGCUACUUGAGAGGCUGAGGCAGGAGAAUCGCUUGAACCCAGGAGGCGGAGAUUGAGGUGAGCCGAGAUCGUGUCACUGCACUGCAGCCUGGAUAACAAGAGCGAGACUCCGUCUCAGAAAAAAAAAGCAGCAGCAGCAGCAUGGAGCCUCAAAAGUUCCGGAGAAAUCAUCCAUAAUUAGCCACACAGUUAGUCCAGCUCUGAGCCUGGGGCUGAGACAUUUGCCACUUCCUGUCCCAUCAGUGCUCCUAUAAGCAUGUCACUGCCCAGCUCCACAGCUCAGACCCCACCACAGUGGAGUGGAACUGGAUAAGUGAGCAGGAGAGUAGAGACAAGAGCCCUGGGGUGAAUGUGAUCUCCACGGUCUCUCACUCCAGUUCCAGUUCUGCUGCUAUGUCCAUGUGACCUUGGAAAAAUACCUCUGCAUCUGGUCCUCCUGGCUAAAAGGAAGACAACUGUGGAACAGUUGCAACAGCUAUGGGAAGAUGUGUUAGAGUGUCAACAGAUGGCUUGGCUCUUUUAGUCCCAGUACCAAAAUCUCAAGGAAGAAGCAAUUGUCUCAGAGUCUUUAUCCCUGGUCCAGCAACUGUAGCUAGAGGGUCAGAAUUACACGGUGCAUGGCUGCUUCCAGAGUACCUCCCAGAGUAACUACAGGAGGCAGAGGGUAGUUCAAGAAAAGCUUGGAAAUGCUCAGAGGAAACAUCGAUUCCAUUACACAGAUAUGAAUUAAUUUAAUACAUUAGCCCCAUUUAUUCAUCAAAUACUUAUUUAAUGCUACUGUAUUCUAGGCCCUGUUUUAGAUAAUAGAAAUAUAGCAGUGAACACAAUAAACACAGAAGAU
rnacentral:lncRNA from 1 species